UAUAGGUAAUAAAGUUCUCUGGGUGCCAAAGCUGAUCGGAAGUUCCCUGCUGAUUGUGAUUGAUUCAUGUGUCAGAUUAUCUGGUGCUGGUUCUGAGUAGUAGGUUUGAUGAUUCUAAGUAGCAACUGCUGCCUAUCUUACUCAAUAGGAAUCCCUGAAUUUUUUAAAUCCAUCUGACAGAGGAACUUGUUUUCUGUUCCAGCACGAUGCACAGCAUCACAGCGACGGGACCUCAAAGUCUAGAGACAGGGAUAGAGAACGCUACGAUGACAAGCACAGGAACUCAGGAAGUGUGUAAGGCGGCGCCAUGGGAGAGAUAGGGAGAGGUACCAGGACAGGGAGAGUGUACGGAACCGAGACCAUGGUCGCCAUCAUCGAGCGCAUCGUGAAAGAAGGCAGCACCAUGAUCGUUCGACGAUCAUGACUAUCGCCGCUGUAGCAGUGAUCGUGAUGCUUAAAGAAGAGACCCCGAUAGAGAUGACCACAGAAGGAAUCGUUCACACUCCCGUUCGAAGAGUCCAAGGUAUGUGUUCGAUGCCUUCCAAAGUGUAUUAUUUGCAUUCUGGUUAAUGCUGUAAGCAAUAGGUUUGUUUGAUUACUUUGAAUCAAACAUGUGGUUUCCUGGAAUCAACUAGCAUGUGAUUUUGAUUCACUAAGUGUGAUUUUUGUAUGCCGUUAGUUAUUUGUUUUGUAUGGCCGGGAAGUUGACAGAACAGAAUGUGUUGGACAAAUUUGAACAAGUAAUUGUGAAUGCAGUUGGUACAGAUCUCGUCAAGUUGUCAAGUAUGGUUUGCUCUUUCUUAUUUAUAUUGUUAGGCAUCUCAGUUUCCUUACUGUAAUGCUCUAUUCUCCUCCAUUUGCUCAACUGGUUACUAACUCUUCUGAAUUGAAGCAGCAAAAGCUUGAGUGGAUUUGACCAGGGACCUUCACAAGCAUGCUUGCGAACAUACUUACUUUACCCAUUCCAGGAGAGGUGACUAGUGGCGACUACGAUCCUUUUUAAGAUCCAAUGUUGCUAGUUCUCAAACAAUGGAUGGUUCAUUCACUUGCUUCACUCUGAUUUUCAAUUUAUCUGGUGAUGGCAGAAUUAAGUGUCUGUGACACUUAAAUUCCUUAUUAUUUUGUGAUGUUUCAAUAUUGCUUUCUAAUACUUGCUAUUCAGCCAUCCCUGCUGAGUCAUGUAUGUAUGUAUGCAGAAAUGGAGAUAUCAUGCACUGGA